UACGAGGGGGGCAAGCGUUGUUCGGAAUUAUUGGGCGUAAAGGGUGCGUAGGCGGCGGGGUAAGUCUGAUGUGAAAUCCCGGGGCUCAACCCUGGAACUGCAUUGGAUACUGCCUUGCUUGAGAACUGGAGAGGAGACUGGAAUUUACGGUGUAGCAGUGAAAUGCGUAGAGAUCGUAAGGAAGACCAGUGGCGAAGGCGAGUCUCUGGACAGUAUCUGACGCUGAGGCACGAAGGCCAGGGGAGCAAACGGG
rnacentral:rRNA from 1 species